AUUUGUUAACUGCCUUUCUCCAAACCACUUUUUAAAUUACGAAUUAUACAUGCAAUUUAAUGAGACGGCAAAAACUUAAGGCAACUGAAAAAUAGGCAGAGGAUGUAAAUAGCUAUUUUAUAGGAGCAAUGCACAAGGCAAUGGCCAUAUGCGGUGGGUGUUUAACUUCUUGGAAGAUGAGAAAUUAUAAUUAUCUAGAUGUUUCCAGGACCUGGAGCUGUGAUUCAGUUUGAAUUUCCCCAGAAAUGUCCUUAGCUGGAGACAAGGCUGAGCAAAU
rnacentral:lncRNA from 1 species